AGUGAACGCUGGCGGUAGGCCUAACACAUGCAAGUCGAACGGCAGCACAGUAAGAGCUUGCUCUUACGGGUGGCGAGUGGCGGACGGGUGAGGAAUACAUCGGAAUCUACUUUUUCGUGGGGGAUAACGUAGGGAAACUUACGCUAAUACCGCAUACGACCUACGGGUGAAAGCAGGGGAUCUUCGGACCUUGCGCGAUUGAAUGAGCCGAUGUCGGAUUAGCUAGUUGGCGGGGUAAAGGCCCACCAAGGCGACGAUCCGUAGCUGGUCUGAGAGGAUGAUCAGCAACACGGAAGCGAGGACACGGCCCAGACUCGGACGGGAGGCACCGGCGGGAAUUAUUGGCCAAGGGGCGGAGGCCUGUUCCGGCCAAACGGCGGGGGUGAGGAAGCCCUUCGGUUUGUAAGCCCUUUUGUUGGGAAAGAAAAGCAGCAGGUUAAUACCCCGCUGUUCUGACGGUACCCAAAGAAUAAGCACCGGCUAACUUCGUG
rnacentral:rRNA from 1 species